rnacentral:rRNA from 1 species
AUUGAACGCUGGCGGCAUGCCUUACACAUGCAAGUCGAACGGAUCAGAAGGGCUUGCUCUUCUGGUUAGUGGCGAACGGGUGAGUAAAGCAUCGGAACGUACCCAGUCGUGGGGGAUAACGUAGCGAAAGUUACGCUAAUACCGCAUACGAUCUGAGGAUGAAAGCGGGGGACCUUCGGGCCUCGCGCGAUUGGAGCGGCCGAUGUCGGAUUAGCUAGUGGGUGAGGUAAAGGCUCACCAAGGCGACGAUCCGUAGCUGGUCUGAGAGGACGACGAGCCAGACUGGGCCUGAGACACGGCCAAAACCCCUACGGGAGGCAGCAGUGGGGAGUUUUGGACAAUGGGGGAAAGCCUGACUCAGCCAUGCCGCGUGAGUGAAGAAGGCCUUCGGGUUGUAAAGCUCUUUCAGACGGAAAGAAAUCUCUUGGGUGAAUAUCCCGGGAGGAUGACGGUACCGUAAGAAGAAGCACCGGCUAACUACGUGCCAGCAGCCGCCGUAAGAC